GGGUCAGUCGUAGGUCAUUACGGAAGGCUGUUAACCUUCUUAUCGUGGUUCGAGUCCACGCUGUCCCGCCA
rnacentral:tRNA from 1 species